AUGACCUUGCGCUUAAGGAGGUCUACCUCAACGGGCGUCGCUUCAUGUGGUCGAACGAGCAGUCCCCUCCCACUCUUGUGCACCUGGAUCGUGUGCUCUGCACCUCGGACUGGGAGGAUGCUCACGGCGAAUGUCACCUUCGCUGCCUUGCGUCGAUCAUCUCGGACCACUCCCCCCUGCUGCUGGACUGCUCCCCCAUGCUCACGGCGCAUAGACGUUUUCAUUUUGAGGACUUCUGGUUGA
rnacentral:rRNA from 1 species